AACGAACGCUGGCGGCAGGCUUAACACAUGCAAGUCGAGCGCCCCGCAAGGGGAGCGGCAGACGGGUGAGUAACGCGUGGGAAUCUACCCAACUCUACGGAAUAACUCAGGGAAACUUGUGCUAAUACCGUAUACGCCCUUCGGGGGAAAGAUUUAUCGGAGUUGGAUAAGCCCGCGUUGGAUUAGCUAGUUGGUGGGGUAAAGGCCUACCAAGGCGACGAUCCAUAGCUGGUCUGAGAGGAUGAUCAGCCACACUGGGACUGAGACACGGCCCAGACUCCUACGGGAGGCAGCAGUGGGGAAUAUUGGACAAUGGGCGAAAGCCUGAUCCAGCCAUGCCGCGUGAGUGAUGAAGGCCCUAGGGUUGUAAAGCUCUUUCACCGGUGAAGAUAAUGACGGUAACCGGAGAAGAAGCCCCGGCUAACUUCGUGCCAGCCGCCGCAGUAACAC
rnacentral:rRNA from 1 species